rnacentral:rRNA from 1 species
AUGAACGCUAGCUACAGGCUUAACACAUGCAAGUCGAGGGGCAUCAGGAAGAAAGCUUGCUUUCUUUGCUGGCGACCGGCGCACGGGUGAGUAACACGUAUCCAACCUGCCCUUUACUCGGGGAUAGCCUUUCGAAAGAAAGAUUAAUACCCGAUAGCAUAAUGAUUCCGCAUGGUUUCAUUAUUAAAGGAUUCCGGUAAAGGAUGGGGAUGCGUUCCAUUAGGUUGUUGGUGAGGUAACGGCUCACCAAGCCUUCGAUGGAUAGGGGUUCUGAGAGGAAGGUCCCCCACAUUGGAACUGAGACACGGUCCAAACUCCUACGGGAGGCAGCAGUGAGGAAUAUUGGUCAAUGGGCGCUAGCCUGAACCAGCCAAGUAGCGUGAAGGAUGAAGGCUCUAUGGGUCGUAAACUUCUUUUAUAUAAGAAUAAAGUGCAGUAUGUAUACUGUUUUGUAUGUAUUAUAUGAAUAAGGAUCGGCUAACUCCGUGCCAGCAGCCGCGGUAAUACGGAGGAUCCGAGCGUUAUCCGGAUUUAUUGGGUUUAAAGGGAGCGUAGGUGGACUGGUAAGUCAGUUGUGAAAGUUUGCGGCUCAACCGUAAAAUUGCAGUUGAUACUGUCAGUCUUGAGUACAGUAGAGGUGGGCGGAAUUCGUGGUGUAGCGGUGAAAUGCUUAGAUAUCACGAAGAACUCCGAUUGCGAAGGCAGCUCACUGGACUGCAACUGACACUGAUGCUCGAAAGUGUGGGUAUCAAACAGGAUUAGAUACCCUGGUAGUCCACACAGUAAACGAUGAAUACUCGCUGUUUGCGAUAGACAGUAAGCGGCCAAGCGAAAGCAUUAAGUAUUCCACCUGGGGAGUACGCCGGCAACGGUGAAACUCAAAGGAAUUGACGGGGGCCCGCGCAAGCGGAGGAACAUGUGGUUUAAUUCGAUGAUACGCGAGGAACCUUACCCGGGCUUAAAUUGCAGUGGAAUGAUGUGGAAACAUGUCAGUGAGCAAUCACCGCUGUGAAGGUGCUGCAUGGUUGUCGUCAGCUCGUGCCGUGAGGUGUCGGCUUAAGUGCCAUAACGAGCGCAACCCUUAUCUUCAGUUACUAACAGGUCAUGCUGAGGACUCUGGAGAGACUGCCGUCGUAAGAUGUGAGGAAGGUGGGGAUGACGUCAAAUCAGCACGGCCCUUACGUCCGGGGCUACACACGUGUUACAAUGGGGGGUACAGAAGGCAGCUAGCGGGUGACCGUAUGCUAAUCCCAAAAUCCUCUCUCAGUUCGGAUCGAAGUCUGCAACCCGACUUCGUGAAGCUGGAUUCGCUAGUAAUCGCGCAUCAGCCACGGCGCGGUGAAUACGUUCCCGGGCCUUGUACACACCGCCCGUCAAGCCAUGGGAGCCGGGGGUACCUGAAGUACGUAACCGCAAGGAUCGUCCUAGGGUAAAACUGGUGACUGGGGCU